GUUGGGCGUGGUGAUGCGUGUCCGUAAUCCCAGCUACUCAGGAGGCUGAGGCAGGAGAAUCGCUUGAACUCGGGAGGCGGAGGUUGCAGUGAGCCAAGAUCGUGCCAGUCAUCGGUGGGGAGGGGGACAGAGUUUCACUCUGUAACCCAGGCUGGAGUGCAAUGGCACGAUCUUGGCUCACUGCAACCUCCGCCUCCCGAGUUCAAGCGAUUCUCCUGCCUCAG
rnacentral:SRP_RNA from 1 species